AGCAAGUAUGCCAUGACAACGCUUUGGCGGUGAAGGCGUUCAAUAAAGUUUCCCAUACGACACAAUUACGUGUAUUUGUUUGAAAAAUUAUGGUUGUGAGUCUUUAGGAUAACUUAUUAUUUUACAUUUCAUCAAACCUGCUAAGAAUCAGCACUGGUGGAUUAUGGUAUUAAUACAAGAGUAUUGAUGUAAUAUCAUAAUCAUUAUUUUUAUUAAAAUAUACUUUUUGUGUGUUUUUUCCAGCUACUUGAACAUCGAGAUCUAUAAACUUCAUAUACAAUAUAUUUAUAUAGGUGCAUAGUUACAUAAACCAUGUGUGUAAAUUCACUGCGUACUGUUAUUUUAUUAUACUGGUACCAAUAUUGCAUAGUAAACGUGUAUUGUAGCUAUUAUCACCUCAUUAUAGGUUUAAUAUUAAGGGUUCUUCACAAACAAAUCAUUAUUUUGUAUUUAAUUCCCAUAUAAAAUAAUAGUACUAGGUGCUAAUUUUUAAUACUAACAAUUAUUUUUUAUUUUUUCAUUUACAGAUACAUACAUACAUUUUGAUCCUAAUUAACAUUCAUCGAUGAGUGACGGCGACAGCAAUAGCAUAAGUGUAGUGACAUCGAGGAUAGUUUAGAACGCUGUGAGGGUGGCAGUGAUGGACCCGGCGGCGCGAAGGUCCUGUGGUUGGUGAUUGAUUUCGUUUGGCCACAGCCCUCGCAUCACCGUCGGUAGUACCUAUACGAUAUAGUGUAGGUUUCUAAACAUCGCUGUCGCGCGAACGGCAUUGGCGAAGACAAUGGUUUGACGCGUCUAAGGUCAGUGGCGAUUCAUUUCGUCACUCGCGCCUUUGCCCAUGGCGCGUCUACUAGCGUCCGUAUGUGCAUUGGUGGUUGAAUAUCUACCGUCCCCUUGACUGGCCCGUGCUGGUCAUGGACGACGGUAGACUUACGUGGCCGAAGAAACUGUUGAAGUCGAAUUUCGACCGCUUUAGCUUUAUUGCCCGUAAGCGGCAUCACGUUAACGAGCUGUCGAAUGACCGUGGAACUCUGACCGAUAUCGGCUUUAUGGCUGGUAUUGCGACGGCUGCGCGCCGGUGGCAGAUAACCGCGUACCUUUGCACUGUUGGCGGCAGCCUAGACGUCCAAUGUCGGUUGUAAAACUGUCGUCACCACGGUUAGCGUUUCGCUGAUUGAGGAUGACGCCGGUCCAGUGUUUCAAAAGCCCAAGGUGAAGAUGAAUUUCAUCCACUUGAGCCUAUGAUAAUGCACUGGCGCCGUCGGACGUCGUUCAAAUAGGUUGUUGUAAAAACCGUUGUUGUAGUUGGAGCAAAGCUAGCUGUAUGCUGGUGGAGUGAUGACCAAUGAUGGACCAAUUGCGUAGAGGGCCGCAAACCUUCGGCCAUCGGGGGGCUCGAACGUAGCUAUGCACGCGUCAAUCAAUAGCGCUGCACUCCGACUAGGUGGUUCACCAGCGGUUGUGGGCGCUGAGCCAGGGGUAGAACUUAAUUGAGUUGAGAAAUUUACUCCCCCCCCCCAAUAGAGAAGAUGGAUAUCGUCUUCUCGCUCAUCGCGACAUAUUCGUAUCGGUUUCCCUGGUAGUGAGGCGGAAUAAUUUAACAACCGAGCACACAUAAAACCGUAUAUAAAUAAACACUUUUCACAAGCAUUUCGACAAAUUAUUUAAGAAUCAAAGUAUUUUACUUGGUAUUGAGAAUAGGAUAUCCCUCUUCCUAAUACUCUCUAAAAUACAAAAAGUUAGCAUGUAACUUGGCCGAAAAAAUAAACAAAUAUAAUUACAUCGGGUUCUAAAAAUGAUAGUGUGUAUUUUACCGUUCAGUUCUCGAGGUUCUAGAACAAUACAAAACGUUCAAACGGUUCGCGAUUAUUUUAUUAUAAAAUCCCAGAAGCAAUUUCCACACUACUUUUAUCAAGAACAUGUGCAGAACACACCUGCAUUUUUUGGAUUUCACAUAGGAUAUGCCUAUUGCUGUCUUUUAUUUUUCAAAUAUUCAAUCCAUAAUACAAUAAAUUAAGUGAGUACUUUUAUGGUUUCAAAUACUUAGUACUAAGUUAGACUGUCUAAAAAAUGAAAUAGAUUUUUAGAUACUUAUUAUAUAUUUAUAAUAAAUAUAUAAUAUUAACUUAAUAGGUUUUUAAUAGCUAUCAAUACACGAACAUUAAUUUUAUACUUAGCAACUUUUAUUCUGUAACAGUGUUAAUGAACCUAGGGACCUAUAUAGUUAUAUUGUAUAUGGAAUUUGGUAGUAUUUUUAAGUUAAAGCUAAAAUUACUAAGAUAGGUAAUAAUUUUGAUAAAUAUGUAUGCGAAUCAUGAUUAAUUUUGAGAGAACCUUUGAGGUGACAACUGACAUCAUCGUUAAAAUAUAUUUUGCUUCAAUUUAUCAGGAUAAAUACAAAUAUAGGUGCGGGAAAAAAAUGUAUAUGAUACAAUGAGGUAGAAAAUAUUAUAUUGGUUGAAAUUGAAUUAUGGCCAUCAUUUAAACCUAAAUACAUAUAGAUUUAUCUAUAUUAUAUCAAUAUAAUCGCCCUGGUGAUUGGCGUUAAACUCACCACUCACUCAAACACAUCUGUUAAGUUUAAUACAAAUUUGUCAGACUUCCGAAUGAGGAGAGAGAGUGAAUACAUAAGACGGUGACUGUCGAAUAUGAUUUAUAGCGCUUUAAUAGAGGAUAAUAUGUAUAAUGUAUUGAAUGGGUAAUGUGGAUGUAUUAUUAGAAUAUAAUAAUUGUUUUGUGGAAAUAUCACCAUAACCUUCAGUCAUUACAAAUCGACAACAACAUCGACGGCUUGAACAUCGACUAAUCAGUUUCUAUCGACAUCAAACACUACAACCACCUGCGCCUAUUUACUUCAGUAACCUUUUCAUAGUGGUGAUGGCACAGAUAUCCAUAAAUGGCAUAGAAAGAGUCUGUUUGGUUUUGGAGAAGUCGUGCAGCCAAUGUACACCAAGACUUUUGGAGGAAGAUCCAUCGUCAUCGAAUUAAAGAUUCAACAGUUACAGUAUUAGAACAACUACAACUCAAGUUGGACCAACUACAAACAACAUUCAACCACUACAAUUAUAUAUAGAUCAUUAACAAAAACAACGUUGACUCGGGUGAGGCGUCAAGAGUCACAGUUUUCGCCCUGGUGAUGGCGUUAAACUCACCAUAUACUCGCCGUCCACAAAAAUACAUUUAACAACUGCAGCUGAAGACAAAUGUUGUCCAGCAUCUAGACUGGAAAAGACCAAGUGAAGAAAUAUGGGCGGCGAGUAUCCCGGAGACGGGAAAGUGGAUUGAUAUUGGAUAUGUAAGGUAUAUGAAUAUAAUAUGUUUACUUAAUAAGUCUACUUGAAUGAUCGACCUUUCAACUAUCUAUGUAUCCAAUAUCAACCAUUAAUUAGAAUUAUUUAUAAAAUUAGAAUUUAAUAAGGAACAUUAAGUCAUGAUGGAUUUUGCUAAAAGAAAGCAAAAAUUCGUCCAGACUAAAACUCAAAAAAUGAUGUCUCUAUUUUCGAGACAUUAAACCUAGGAUGCCUACCUCAAACAUGAUAUUUCUUUUACUAAACCGUGGUUGAUAACAAAUGUUGUACAGCUGCUGGUGCAAGAAAAAUAAUUGAAAUAUCAUGGACAUCGUAUAAUUAGUGUAUUAGUUAAGCCAUGUAAUAGAUGGGAAUUAAAUAAGAAUUGUGUCAAAUUGAGCACUCAAAAAAUCAAGCUCUUUGCAAUUCCGUGCGGAUAAUUGAAUGCGGAGAAAAUUAAGAGCAACAUUUAUUAUUACAUAUAAGAAUAAGUUAUAAGAUUACUUAUGCAUUUAUGUAUAAUAUAUUAUAUGGAGUGAUAAAUUUAAAGUGAAACACUAAUGAUUUUGAAAAUAUUUUUUUUACAUUGUUGUAACUUUUAAGACGUAACAAAACAGCAUUUUAAGGGGAUUCGAUACGUGUCGUUUUUAAGGAGUUCAAUAUAGGCAAUUUUCUGUGUGCGUGUGUAUAAAAUAUAUAGCGGAGCGCUCCCGCACGUGAACAAACAUGUCAACAACGCAUGAAAAAAUUGUUUUGUAUUUUUUUGGUCAAAAGUAUCAAUCUUUUGCCAAUCAUAUUAAAUAGCCUACUAUCCGAUAACAUUUUUGAAAACCUAUUUAAAUUUGUCAUGCAAUUUACUUGAAAACGACUUCCUUACAUUUUUUAUUAAUUUUUCAAUUUCAGUAUUAUUAAAAUUUAAAAAUUUCUAAUAUUCAAAAUUUGAAAAUCUAAUGUUGUAGGGUUAAGGAGAUUAAUUAAAAAAUGUGGCAAUCGUUUUCUAGAGAACUUCAUGACAAAUUCAAAUAUGUUUUCAAAAGUUUCAUUCGAGUAGUAGAAUAAACGGUCAGUUGGAAAAAGAUAGAUUUAUUUUGGAAGAAAACAGAGAUGGGAUCGAAUCCCCUUAAGAUGAUGUCACAACCGCAAGUGUUGUCACUUGUCACCGUCUAACAAUUGUACUACAUAGCAAAAACUAUUUUGCACGGGACAAUUUUACUCCCUCUGUAUUUAUAGUAGAAUUACCAAAAUACCACAACGCAUAGGGAAGAACUCUAUCUGUGUCGUAGUGUUUUCAUUUUUUUGGUAGCACUAACCAAUAAUUUUUAAUAAUUAAAUGAAACAAAAAAACCUAAUGAUCUCAUACUGAUAACUUUAAAUGUAUAAAUGUUAUCUAAAUAAUAAAAACACAACGACACAAAUAAAGUUCUUCCCUGGGUAUGUGGAAUUUCGGUAAUUCUACUAUAUAAAUACAGAGUAAGUAAAAUAUUGUGCCAUGCAAAACAGUUUUUCCUAUGUGGUAGGUACAUUUGUAAGACAGAGAUAACACAUACGGGUGUGACGUGCUCUUAAAAAAAAUUAAUUGUUUAGUAUUUUUAUUGUUAUUAUUUUUGAAAUUUCUUACACUUUUUAGAAAAAACGUACCUACAUUUUUGAAUUUAUAUUCCCAAGCAGAAGAUUAUUUUGAAUUAUAAUUUCGGUCUAUAAGAAUCUAAUUUUGGACAAGUACUUUAUUACCUAUAUUUUUUAAGUACCUAUUCAAAGUUUAUCUCCACAGAAUCUGUGGUUAGCUAACUCACUAACAUUGCUAUAAGAGCGGCAACUGUCCACUCGAAGAGUAUAAUAUGUGUGUUAGUUACCCAGAGCGUUAGGAGGAUCUUAAAUGGCCGGUGAUAUAUGAGGUACUCAGGAAAAUAUCGUACACCAAGUUUACCACCCUAUUACUCCUACCAAAUAGCUCAGGGUGUCAUCUUGGUCUUCGGUCUGUCUUCGGAAGACACGUGGCCAAGAAGACUUCCACUCUGAUAUUUCUUUGGAAAAGUUGACAUCAAACAUCAAAGGUCCCUGUAAUAAUGUUGGUCCACUACACCGCUCAUCUAAACUUUAAAUAAUUAAAAAAUGUAUGAAAUAAACUACCAAUUCAAAAUAUGAUUUUUAUAGAUGGAAAUACUCCAAAUAAUAUUCUGCUUAGGAAUAUGAAAUUAAAAAUGGUAUACGUUGUUUCUUAAAAAAAUAAAAAUUUUAAAACUAUAACAAUAAAAAUAGUAAAUACAUAACUUUUUUCUUAAAAUGUUGUUUUGUAACGACUUAAGACAAUGUAUAAGAAAUAUUUUCAAAAUCGUUAGUGUUUCACAUUAAAUUGAUCAACAUGUAUUUAUAAAUAUAUUAUAUAUAAACACACACAUGACUGUCUUUUUUGUACGCAAAUAAACAAUAAUACAAUUUUAACUUUGUAAUUUCUAAGAAUUAAAAAAAGUUAUGUGAGUUAUAAUUCUGGUUUAUCCAUUGUACAUUUUUUAUUUAAUAUUUAUUGUUUUGACAUCAUUAACACAUACAAAAUUACUAUUGUUUUAAAAUCCAUAAUUUUUUAUGUUUUUCAAACUUAAUUUGAUUAAAAAAACUUUUAUUUAUGAUGUAUAAAAUUAAUUUCAUAACUAUAUGAGUGUAACCUUGAGUGAUGGUCUAUCACGCAUAACCUCUUAAUUAUACAACAAUUUAACAUAAGUAAUUUAAGCUAUUGAUAUUUAAGCUAAUGAUAUUCUAUAAAUUACAUUUUGCAUUAUUAUUCGUUUAAUGGUAUUCUAAAAAUUACAUUUUGCAUUAUGUUUUGUUUAAUGAUAUAUUUAUUUAUAAUAAUAUAUUUUUUUUGCGGUA